GCUGAUAUAGCUCAGUUGGUAGAGCGCACCCUUGGUAAGGGUGAGGUCCCCAGUUCGACUCUGGGUAUUAGCACCA
rnacentral:tRNA from 3 species